rnacentral:rRNA from 1 species
AGAGUUUGAUUAUGGCUCAGGAUGAACGGCUAGCUACAGGCUUAACACAUGCAAGUCGAGGGGCAGCAUUGGAGUAGCAAUACUCAGAUGGCGACCGGCGCACGGGUGAGUAACACGUAUCCAACCUGCCGCUUACUCGGGGAUAGCCUUUCGAAAGAAAGAUUAAUACCCGAUGGUAUAAAGAGUUCGCAUGUUCUCUUUAUUAAAGAAUUUCGGUAAGCGAUGGGGAUGCGUUCCAUUAGAUAGUUGGCGGGGUAACGGCCCACCAAGUCUACGACUGGAUAGGGGUUCUGAGAGGAAGGUCCCCCACAUUGGAACUGAGACACGGUCCAAACUCCUACGGGAGGCAGCAGGUGAGGAAUAUUGGUCAAUGGACGAGAGUCUGAACCAGCCAAAAGUAGCGUGAAGGAUGACUGCCCUAUGGGUUGUAAACUUCUUUUAUAAGGGAAUAAAGUGAGGGACGUGUCCCUUUUUGUAUGUACCUUAUGAAUAAGGAUCGGCUAACUCCGUGCCAGCCGCGGC